CAAUUUGACAAUAAAUCUCAUAUUUUUAAAAAAAGAAAAUAUAGUUAAAAAAAUAAAGCAGAACUUGUAAACUCAAAAAAAGAUUAUAACCCACUUCUUCUAACUCUCAAAAUAAUGUGUGAUUGAAACAAUGGCUCUGUCAUAGAUGAGUAAUUAAUUCUGGUUUAUUGGUUAAUCAGCUAUUACAGAGUUUCAUACUUCUUACUAUGAAUUUGAUAUUAGAUGACAGAGAUACUUGUUUUUACCUUUGGCCUAAUGUUUUGGAUCACUGUGAACAAAAAUUCUAAUGUUUACUUGAAAAUGUUUCAUUUAAUGUAGGUUAACCAUUUUAAGACCAUUCAGAUUUGAAAAUCUUACAUUACAGCAAGUAGAGGAUGGAAAUCAAUCCCUGCAUACUGAGAAAAAUUAAAAAACUAAGAAGCCCAAUUCCCUGGCCUCAUGGGAUUUCCCAAUGACCAAUUAACCGAAGAGGAAAAAGCACAGGCCUCCUCUCCUUCUGUGUCUGCUGCUCUUCUGCUCCGCUCUGGGGUGGCCCUGAAGGCAGCCACGGAGAAAAAUCUCAGAGGCUCCAACCUCAAAUUGAAAAUGUUGUGCGAAGCUUUGCACGGCCCAUCAGGUUUAUCCGAGAUGCCAUUAUGGCUGAUGAAAAGCAUUGUGUGAAAGGAGAGAUGGCCUUAAGUACAAAUCUACACUGAUUCAUGAGCAUUGGUUAGUGGGCUAGCAGGCCGGACAUGGACUGAAGAAAAAACAGGACUGGAUGGUUGUUGAAAAGGUGGUGUGAAGGAGGGGUACACAGAUGAAACUUAGGGAGUUGUCCUGGGAUGUGGAGAUAUUCAUAUGGCAGUAGGCUUUGCACUCAGCAUGGAGUCCAAUGCAGAGCUUGAACACAUUGCCCUGAGAUAAAGACCUGACCUGAGAUCAAGACUUGGACACCUAACCAACUGAGCCACCCAGGCACCCCUAGAAGAAUGCAUUGUUGAGGACUUUUCUGA